rnacentral:lncRNA from 1 species
UGGUCCCCAACAGAAGAACAGCUGCCGCAUCCACUGAGGGCACAUCUCAACACAGCUCACUGAUCAGACUCAGCAAUUCCAUUCUGCAUCUUUUCUCAUCACCUCCGUGACCACCCAGGACAACCCCAUCAGGGCCCUGUCACCAGGCCCAGUCCAGCUCCAUGAUAACCAAGACACAGGUCCAGAGACAACCAUCCUGCAUCAUGCCUGCAUCUGAACCCCCUUGGUGGGUAGUGACCAGCAUAACAUGGAAGAAGCCAGGGCAGCAUGCGGCCAG